GGACUACAGGGGUUUCUAAUCCUAUUUGCUCCCCACGCUUUCGUGAUUCAGCGUCAGUCUAGGUCCAGUCGGUCGCCUUCGCCACUGGUGUUCCUCCAUAUAUCUACGCAUUUCACCGCUACACAUGGAAUUCCACCGACCUCUACCUCACUCUAGUCUUACAGUUUUGAUAGCACUUCAUUGGUUGAGCCAAUGUCUUUCACUUUCAACUUAUAAAACCGCCUACUCACCCUUUACGCCCAAUAAUUCCGGAUAACGCUUGCCACCUACGUAUUACCGCGGCGGCUGGCAC
rnacentral:rRNA from 1 species